ACAUUCCAACCUCUUCACAAUCACUGACGUUUAAAUCCGUUAACCGGCCAUCUUAGAAUGUUUUGAGUAGGUGUGGCUGCUGCUGCUUACCCCACCUUCCUCCCCCUCCUCCUCUUCCUCCUUCUUCUCUUCUGGAAACUGUGGUUCCCACUCUGACUUACUGCUUACAGUAGAGACUUUUUAUUGCUGAUGGAAGCAGGAACCCUCUUUGGGCAUGUCCCGAAGGCGAAUCACUGCCAAUGCACAUUGCGACAAUAGAGCACGUUCAUAUGGGGUGUGAUUCCACAGAAACACGUGACUGGACAGUCCUUUAUUAGAAACCUUACUCCUCAACAGCUUGUCUACUUAACAGUGUGAACAGCCCCCAAGCAGAUCCGAUUUCACCGCUGCGGUGUGGUACGGAAUUUCAAAUUGGAUGUGGGUUGUUCAGUGGACUUGACUGGGGCUGGGAAGACAGCUGGAAGAGUGAGACCUGAGUUCAGCAGCGACAUAAAGAGUCCACUACGGACUCACACAAGACAUGGGAUCAGAAUUAAACAAAUUCCAGGUCACAGGAACCUUCAGGAUUCCUACGGGGAGGCUGGAGCCUCUGUAUUGGCCAGCAGGACUGUGGCGAUGUCUGCUGGCUGCCUAGCAUGGUGCAGUUCCCAGGAUUUCCUGGCGUUCAAGUGCCACCCUUAGGGCUCAAGCAGAGACUGUUCUUCUUUGUAAUUUUUUUUAACAUUUGUGUAUUUAUUUGUUGUGUGUGUGAGUGUGCCUGUGUGUAUAAGUAUGCUUGUAUAUGAGGGUGCCCAUGAGUGUGUAUAUAUGAGUGAGUGUGCCUGUUUGUCUCUGUGAGUGUGCCUGUAUGCGUUUGUGUGUGUGCCUGUGUGUAAUUAUGUGAUGUAUGAGUGAGCAUGUAUGUUUGUGAGUAUG